AAUUUGAUUGUUUUUUACAGCAAGCACUACAUUACAAGUUUGUAGGAUGGAGGCUACAAGCUAAAGCCAUUUUUAAUGACUCCGUUUAGGAACCCAAGGGACCCAUAUGAAAUUCGUUACAACAAAAAGCAUGCCAGCACUAGAAAUGUUGUAGAAAUGUGCUUCGGACUGCUUAAAAAUAGAUUCAGGUGUAUAAUUGGUUCACGGGGGUUACACCAUAUACCAGAAAGAACAACUCAAAUUAUAAAUGCAUGCAGCGCUUUGCACAACGUGUGCAUAAAGUACAAAUAUAUGGAUAUUUUAAUAGAUGCGAGUAUGAUCCCAGAAAAUCCUUCCGCUAAUACUGAAGUGUAUAAUCAUGAAGACGAGAGCAGAGCUGUGGCUACAAGACGGAGAAUAGCAAUAAAUUUAUAAUUCAAUCACAUCACGUUUUCUCUAAAUCAACAAAUUUAACAAUAGACGAGGUAUUCCAUUUAGAUAACUAACAAAACUGUUAGAGCCGUUACCGUAACUGAUCCGGAGAUAUCCGAAGGCGCCAUUUAAUACAAGCUCAAGUGGUCAAUUCACGAGAUCAGGCAAUACCUGCCCAGCGUGUGGCACUACACCCCACAACACCUAUCAUCUAUUUAGAUGCCCAUCUAAACCAACUACUCUAACGGCAGAGGCGCUAUGGACCGAUCCAGUUAAGGCGGCCAGAUUUUUAGAGUUGGAUCUAGGAACCAUUCCCGGACCGGGAUGACCUCAGAGAAAGAAACAGACUAUGAAGACAGAGGUUAACUAACAAUAAGGGGCUACUAUAAAAACACAAAUAGUAAAAAAAGAAACUCUUAAAGGCAAGAGCGUCCAACAAUAUGACCAUGAGAGUGAAUAUCGCUGGAACGGUGGGUUUUUAUUGAGUAUAUCAAAAAAAAUUUCCAAACACAAGCGGAUCGGAGACAAACCACCGAUCCAGCGAUAUUCACUCUCAUGGUCAUAUUGUACUUUAUUUCAUUAUUUUCUGUUUACCGGCAGCGUAAUCGGGCAAAAGUGCAGGAUGCUGGAAAGGAUAGAACUGACGAUCCAAGCACUUCUACGGAAGCUGGAAAAAUUAUCAGAUUUCCCUGAAGGCAUAACACUGCUAAAAUGCUGAGGAGCUCCCCCCUUUCAAGUACUCUGGGAAAACCAAGCCAGCCAUACCGCAGUGGAGACUCCAGAAAGUGUCCUGUGGAGAUAGACAAAAUCGGAACAGGAGGCCACUUCCAAUAGGAGGCCACAGCCAUCACGGAAGGGGAAGAUGGUCGCUGAGAAUGGUAAGGAGCAGAGAUGAGCUGA
rnacentral:sRNA from 1 species